GACGAACGCUGGCGGCGUGCUUAACACAUGCAAGUCGAACGGAAAGGCCCUGCUUUUGUGGGGUGCUCGAGUGGCGAACGGGUGAGUAACACGUGAGUAACCUGCCCUUGACUUUGGGAUAACUUCAGGAAACUGGGGCUAAUACCGGAUAGGAGCUCCUGCUGCAUGGUGGGGGUUGGAAAGUUUCGGCGGUUGGGGAUGGACUCGCGGCUUAUCAGCUUGUUGGUGGGGUAGUGGCUUACCAUGGCUUUGACGGGUAGCCGGCCUGAGAGGGUGACCGGCCACAUUGGGACUGAGAUACGGCCCAGACUCCUACGGGAGGCAGCAGUGAGGAAUAUUGCACAAGGGGCGGAAGCCUGAUGCAGCAACGCCGCGUGCGGGAUGACGGCCUUCGGGUUGUAAACCGCUUUCGCCUGUGACGAAGCGUGAGUGACGGUAAUGGGUAAAGAAGCACCGGCUAACUACGUG
rnacentral:rRNA from 1 species